CCGGUGGUGCCGGCUGCUUCAGGCUGGCUGAGUCCGCCCUGCACCCUGGAUGUGGCCCAAGUGUGCGAAGCGUGGAGGCAGCAGAUUCCUCCAGCACCAGUUCCCACCAGCCAGCUCUGAGCUCUGCUGCAGGGAGGACUGCUUGUCCGAGCUCCGAGCUCCGAGGUGCGGGAGAGCCAAGCCCCACCCCGCAACCACCCCGGCGGCCAGUUAGCCUUUUGAUCCCUGGAACAGUGAUAAGACGCAAACUGGGAUUCGAAUGUGCGCUCCCGCUGAGAGCCAGUGGCCCCCACCAGCAUCGUCUGAAAAUGUGAAAACUGUGGGCGGAGGAAGAGGGAGCCCCAUUCCACAUGACUUUGGUCAUUAUUGGCUUCCAACACCUCAGCGACUGCAAGAGAGCUUUUAUUUCAUCUUUAUGGAAACUGUGGAGGUUAAUAACAACCAUCACCAUCGUGUGAUGUUACAGGUUGAGAGUGUGGAGAGCAGACUCCCCAUAAGAAGCCUCCUUCUAACUCUGGGAAGGUCGUGACCCUCGGUUUCGAUCAGCGCUGCCCUUAUAGACCGAGUGCUUGAGCGCCACACCCCAGAGUUAAGUGUUGCAGCCCUACCGCCACAGCCCCUGCCUUCCAGAAACCCACAGGCCCAGGUGCCCCCGACAUGCCAAGCAGUCAUGAACCCCACUUACAACAAACACACGAAGAUCCUGAGUGUGGGGGCAUGGACCAGAAGUCACUGGGGCAGCAUUUUCUCAGAAACAUUUUAAUCUGGAAACUAAUUCGAAGGCACUUGAACUG